CUUACUUGGUUUUAUAGCCACCUUACGAAUCGAAAUAUUUAAACCACAAUUGCAUGCUUUUUAAUCGUUAAACUUAUUGAAAACUGUAGUAUGCUGUUGGAAUUUGAUGAAGCAAAUUUAAUAAAAAUAAGGUACUUAUCUAUGUUCUAAGUACCUAUAAAUAAAGAUUUAAAGGUUAUUUUUAUUUUAGAUUUUCUAUAUUAUUAUAUUAUUGUUCUUAUUUUAAACUCAAUUAUUAUAAAUCUAUUAAUAAUUGAAAUCUAGGAGAGAAAGAUGAGGAAAAAAAAAAGACAACAGUAAUCUAGAAAAUAUUAAAUAUUAUGUGGAUAGAUAUAUAAUAAUAAAUUACCUAUUUUAUGAUUUUAUAAAAAACCAAAUGUAUUUACCUUUAACAUUAUUUGUGUUAUAAUAUAAUACGAAUACCUAUAUUAUAUAGGUAUGUUAUAGUAAUAAUAUAGUAUAAAGGAAAUGAUAUACAAUUAAACUUAUCUAAAUCUAAGUUAGAAAUACACUUUAUGGUGAAGUGCAUGAGAUGAGCUAUGAAGUAUUCAUCUCAUGCAGUGUAUUAAGAAUUAUAUUAUAACAUUAAUUAUGUAUACAAUUAGUAGGUAGUUUUAUAAUUAAUGGUUAUAGACUUAUAGUAAAUUACGUCAGUUGGUUCUUUUUCAAUUUAAUUUUUUUCCUAAGUUUUUAUAUUAAACUUUCAAAAAAUUAAUAUCAUAAUAAUUGUCUUUUUUACCUAUUAGAUAGGUACCUAUAAUUUACAAUCAUGUGGUUAUUAGGAAGUAUAGAAAUUUAUUUACAAACAAUAUAAGUAGGUAGAACAGUUGGUAAUCUUUAGACAGUAGGUUUUAUCUAAAAAUCUUUUGAAGGGGAAUAGAUUCAUUAAUAAAAUGAUGAAUAUUAUAGUUUACAUUUUUCAUAGGUUGUUACCUAAUAGGUAUAGGUCACUACUUUAAAAUAAAGUUCCUACAGAUUAAUUGCCCGUUACGGUUUCAUUAAUGUAAGUAAAUCAUUAAUAAUUACAUAGAGUAGGUAUGUAAAAUAUGGUACUGUUUUGAAAAAAAAAAAAAAAAAAUGAUAAUAUAGGUAAGUAUUAGUUAGUAUCAGUAUCAGAAGCUUAUUUAUGGUAGCUGUAUUUUUAAGUUUAAUGUUUUAGAUUCUGAGUGGAGCGAGGAAUGUAUUAGUUUUACUAUGAUGUUUAUUUAUUUUAUUUUUUAUACUGUGUACUAGUGCCUAAUAAUAUAUGCUUCUAAGAUUCUCACAAAAAUAAUGCACAAAAGAAUAGUCAAAGAUAAAUACAAAUUUAGCUGGAGACUAAUUUGGUUUCAGGAAAAAUAGAGGCACUAGAGAGGCGAUAAUAUGCUUAAGAAUAAUCAUAGAGAAAAUGUUUAGAAUCAAUAAACCACUGUUUAUUGCCUUCUUAGAUCUGGAGAAGGCCUUCGAUAAUGUUUAAGGGAUAAAACUUUUUAGGGUUAUGGAAGACAUUGGAAUAGAUUAUAAUGAUAGAAAAAUUAUUCAUAAUCUGUACAUCAUUGAAAUUGCAGUUAUAAAAGUUGAAAAAGGUAACAACCAGGUGGAGACUAAAAUUGCUAAGGAGGUAAGACAAGGAUGCAAUCUAUCAUAUAUAUCUACAUAGAAGCCUUAAAAAGAAGUAAGAAAAGAAAAUUUUGGAGGAGCAUUUUGGUUGACACUUUCAUCAUUGUUCGGUGGUAGUAUCAUGAGAUUAAUAUAUUGUUUAUAUCAAUUAUAAUAUAUUUACUCAGCUGAUUAUAAUACUAGAAUCGCGAUAAAGAUAUUAAUCUGUAACCACAGACAUAAAACAAAAAUACACUCUGUAAUCGUGCGUGGUCUCUAAUCUGUAUACGAAUAUUAUGGAAAAUAAUAACGUUUCAAAACAAUUUGUAUUGAUUAUAUUUAUUUAUUUGAUUAUUAUCAAUAAAUAUCGGUUAAACAAGAAACUCCAUAUUACCGAAAAAAAAAAAGUCUAUGGGGGGUAUUUAUCCCUCAUAUCCCCCUCCCAAGAGAACGCCUAUGUUGUAGUAAAAUUGUUAUACUUAAUGCUUGAAAAUUUAAUGGAAAAUUCAUCAAAGGUCGUACAUUGUGGUCAAAAACAAAUUUGAGUUUAAUGUAGUAUUUUUUUUUUUAUAGGAGAAUUUUAUUAUCAAAUUUUAACAAGAGGAAAAGAGUAAGUGGAAAAAAAUCUAAUUUUAAAAAUUUUUGUUUUUUACAUUAUCAUGUAUAAUACUGAUUUAAGAACGAUGGUAAAGUCAGAAUUAUACGAACUGACCUAGUUUCGAAAUUAUAGCUUUUUGAAAUUUUGAUAAUAUGCAGUUAUUAUAAUAUGUUAUGUUUAAUAACUUAAUAUUGUCUAUUGUCAAUUUUAUUGUAUUUUUGUCGUACUCUAUAGGUAGUAUGUACCUAUUGUCAUCCUAGAAAUUAUCAGUUCUCAAACCUGUGUUUCAAAAAAAAAAAAUAAUCUUUUGUUGGUAUUUAUUUUUUCCAUACAUUUUGGGUGUACCUAGAGACCAAAGCCAUCGCUCACUCGGUUUAUUUAAAUUAAUAAAAUACCUCUCGAUUUGUUGUGCAAAUUUUUCUACCGGAAAUUUUGCUCCGAUGUAUCAAGCACAUUUUCUGAAAGGAAAUCUUAUUUACGUUGCACUUAAAGGACGUCAUUUUUUGAUUUUCCCAGAAGUUUUCCUAAUUAAAGGCAAAAAACGGGAAAAUAAAUAAACAAAUAUUAUUAAAGAAAAAUAUAUUAUGUAUAUGUAUUUAUUUUACAAAAAUCUGGUAUACCUAUUGUCGACAAAGCAAUACUAUCAACCGAACUUCACUUAGAAUCGUUUUUCGUUAGCAAUGGUUAAUCGUUGCUUACAGAUAUACAUUAAAUUUCCCCUCUACCUUCUAAACUUUUCUCCUAUAACAGUGGCCCACCCACGUGCGAAAUGUCUGUAUUUUUUUUAAACACAUAUUUUCUUUGAUGCCUUCUGGGAACAUUUCAAUUUUAAACUAUUUUCAACUUAUGCUGGGUUGUAUUAGCAAAACCAAGAUUAAUAAUUGUUUAAACAAAUUUUCCUCCGGAUUUUUUUACCUUUUACCUAAAUAAAUAUACAUAUACUUAAAUUAUUUUAGUUGUUAUUUCUACUGUACUACUGUAGACAUAUUACGCAUGUAUGAUGAAGCCAUUAUAGGUGAUGGUCAUUUUGGGACCAUAUAUCGUUUAGCGUAAGUAAUAUAUACUACUUGUCCGUGAACUAUGAUUUUAUGUUAAAUCUUUAUAUUUAUAGACAGAGUAAAAUAUCCUCUAUAAAAAAUAGGUCGUUUAAUAACAAUAGUUAUUUCGUAUAUUAUAUUGUGCGGAUAUCUGCCUAACGAUUUGUCAACUAUAUUAUUCGCGUGUAUCCUGUAAAUAUCUGAUUGGCAAAUCGACAAUAGUUACUAUAAAUAUAUAUUGUAUUGACCUUUUGGGAUUGAUAGAGUAUUUAAAACUAGGUAUGUACCUGUAUAUUAUAUUGAUCGUUGUUUUAUUUGUGUUCUUAAUAACGUAAUUAGCAACCUAUUAAUUCCGUGAAACUAAGAAUUAGAUUCAUUAAAAUUGUAAAACAAUUACCAUACCAACUCAAGAUACAUCAUUAGUUGAUUGUAAUCUUUAUUUUUUACAGAAAAUAGUAUUUAACACCACAUAUUUACUUUAUAUAUUCAUUAUUAUACUUACUAGGUACCUACAUAGGAGAUACCCAUAAAUACCUAUACUUGUUAGUUAUGAAGUUUUAAUCCAAAUUUAAAUUUUUGAUAUUUACCAGGAUAUUCUAGGCAAAUUAUAAUGAAUAUUAUUCGUUUAUUUUAUAUUAUGUACCUAAAUAGGCACAAAAUGUACGUGCCGUCGCACUUUUAUACCUAUUAUUCUAACACCAACAUUGAAAAUGGGUAUAAUUUUAAGUUACAGUGUAACAGUUCAUUGUAGGCCAUAUUUAAUUUUUGUGACUGUAUAACUAUUUUAGAAAAUAAUUAUUUUUUGUAGUAGGUACAGAAUUGGUUAGAAAUCUAGAAUUUGUUGUUUGAUAAUACGGGUAAAAAAUUUAUCAAUGGAGUUAAUUCGACGAAAAACCGCUGGGCUCCAACAUGAAUUGAAUUUCAAUAAAAUGUAAUAUAUAAUUCCAAUGAGAAAAAUUAUCCUAUACUAAUUUUAAAACAAAAAAAACAUUGUACGUCCUACAGUAUGUACGGUUAAGUAGAAGUACUAGUAAUGGGUACUCCGAAAAAAAAAAAAAAAACGAAAGUACAUGAUAUACUUGUCGAAUGACGUUUUAAAAUAAUGUACUAUAUUAUAUUCACACAUCAUUGUGCGUAUAUUUUACCCGCGUAAAAUUAGUUUUUCUGUGCGCAUAGUGCAUAACGCAGUGCGUUCGUUGUUUGGGUCUUUUGUUUUUUCGUAUUGAAAAAUUGAAUAUUAAUACUCGUAUGAUGUUAGACACUAUGACGACAACUGCCCCUCCCAUGAAUGGCGGCAGCAACGACCGUCGUGUAGAAGCAGGUAGAGGGCGUUCGGGCCGUAUGCAAGGACGCUGUGUGACGCUGUUGAUUGUCUAACCUCCCAGGUACGUACGCAGCGUCGGUGUGCGAACGGACAAAGACAAGGGAGCUGCCGCGGUGGUGGGAGAGAGACAG
rnacentral:lncRNA from 1 species